AUUGCCCUAGUAACGGCGAGUGAAGCGGCAACAGCUCAAAUUUGAAAUCUGGCUCUUUUAGAGUCCGAGUUGUAAUUUGCAGAGGGCGCUUUGGCUUUGGCAGCGGUCCAAGUUCCUUGGAACAGGACGUCACAGAGGGUGAGAAUCCCGUACGUGGUCGCUAGCUAUUGCCGUGUAAAGCCCCUUCGACGAGUCGAGUUGUUUGGGAAUGCAGCUCUAAAUGGGAGGUAAAUUUCUUCUAAAGCUAAAUACUGGCCAGAGACCGAUAGCGCACAAGUAGAGUGAUCGAAAGAUGAAAAGCACUUUGGAAAGAGAGUCAAACAGCACGUGAAAUUGUUGAAAGGGAAGCGCUUGCAGCCAGACUUGCUUGCAGUUGCUCAUCCGGGCUCUUUUGCCCGGUGCAUUCUUCUGCAGGCAGGCCAGCAUCAGUUUGGGCGGUGGGAUAAAGGUCUCUGUCACGUACCUCUCUUCGGGGAGGCCUUAUAGGGGAGACGACAUACCACCAGCCUGGACUGAGGUCCGCGCAUUUAUGCUAGGAUGCUGGCGUAAUGGCUGUAAGCGGCCCGUCUUGAAACACGGACCAAGGAGUCUAACAUCUAUGCGAGUGUUUGGGUGUCAAGCCCGAACGCGUAAUGAAAGUGAACGGAGGUGGGAACCCGCAAGGGUGCACCAUCGACCGAUCCUGAUGUCUUCGGAAGGAUUUGAGUAAGAGCAUGGCUGUUGGGACCCGAAAGAUGGUGAACUAUGCUUGAAUAGGGUGAAGCCAGAGGAAACUCUGGUGGAGGCUCGCAGCGGUUCUGACGUGCAAAUCGAUCGUCAAAUUUGGGCAUAGGGGCGAAAGACUAAUCGAACUAUCUAGUA
rnacentral:rRNA from 1 species